rnacentral:lncRNA from 1 species
AUUUUGAAUCUCUUGUUUCCGCUUUAUCCGGCGCUUCCACCGAUCAGAAAGUCGCAUGCGAACCAACGGAACAAGACAUCGACGACUCGCCGCCGGAAUCGUUUUGGCUCUCCAACGACGCCGAACACGACUGGUGGGACAGAAACGCUGUUUACGAAAGAAACGAAUCAACAAAAGGAAGUUCAAUUUCCACAAACCUAAACCCUAAUUCAGCCUCAAAUUCUCAGCGAUUUUCCAAGAAUUUGAAGAAAUCAAAGGCUACAAUCAUUGGCUUACCGAAAUCUCAGAAAGCUUCGUUUGCUGAAGCUAGAUGCCGACGUAAUCACCGGCCGGGGAACAACACUAGGUCUUUGUUUCCGAAACGAAGCGCGUCAAU